rnacentral:lncRNA from 1 species
UUCGGCCAGGCCGGCCGGAGGCGACAGCGCCUGACUGGGCUCCUGAGAAGCUGGAGCCGCGUCCCGCGGCCGCAGGAGCAGCACCCCCGCCUCCUCGAAGGCUUCGCGGAUGGCACAGAUGCGCAGCGCUACGUCAUCGGGCAGCGCCGCGGGGUCCGCGUCGCCGUGGGACAGCCCGGGGAAGGGGGGUUGCCGAGGGGGCUCCGGGCCUAGGCCGAAGCGCGGCGGCGUGUGCCGAGGCGCGAACAGACGCACCCAGUCGGGUGAGCUGUCGGCCGCGUCCAGCACGCCGCCCGGGAAGACGUGCGCGCCGGGCAAGAAGCGCUGGUUUUGUGCUCGCUGGAGAAGCAGCAGCCGGAAGCCGGCCGGGCUCGAGUGGGUCCAGCCUGCUGCCAACAUCACGGUGGCUGCCCGCCGCCAGCUGCUCGAGCUGCUCAUGGCCGGCGUCCUUCAGAUCCCCCUUAGGAAGUGGCCGGGUCGUAGAGUGGUGUCCAGAAGCCCUAUAAAUGUUGAGGGCCUGAAAAAUCCGGCCUGGCGGCUUCCGGAGGUUUACUUGUGGGAGGAGCGUGAUUCCCGCGCCAGAGCACCUCCUCGAAUGCCCUGCGCUUCAGUCAGGGUCAUUCUCGCCCUGUCACAGCCCUGUCACAGCUGCUGCAGUCACCAGCCAGCCUCUGGGAGCACGGGUGCCAGUGUGGAGUGGAAAAUAAUUUCUAGUUGUGAACCUUUCCCACUAAACGCAAACGACUAGGACUUUGUCCCCUACGCUGGCCUGUUGCCUGUAUAGGAGGUUCCAAGGUGUCUGGAGCUCUCUUGAACCAUGCUAAUAAACGAAUGGGUGGAUCAGAUGCCAAGUUAGACUAACUACUCUGUAGUUUGAAUGUCUUUGGCUAGUCCCUGUCCCUUGGGGUAGUCUGUCUUAAGUUGUAGAUGUUGUUAUUGCCUGAGCACCUGAGGAUCAGGGAAAAUUAUCUUAGUGUGAUUAGUUCUCUUUCUACGUGGGAGAUGUUUAAUCCUAGACUAGCAAUGCUUCCCCCUCCUCUCCAACCUUUUUUCCUUUUUUCUUUUUCUUUUUGUUUUUGUUUCUUGUUUUGUUUUGUUUUGUUUUUAGACAGGGUUUCUCUGUGUAGCCCUGGCCGCCCUGGAACUCACUCUGUAGACCAGGCUGGCCUCGAAUUCAGAAAUCUGCCUCCCAAGUGCAGGGAUCAAAGACAUGCGCCACCACUGCCUGGCUUCCUCUCCAACUUUUAAGUGGCUGGAGGACUUGCACUUCUAUUUUGUUUUUUGGAAACAGCUUGUUUCUGUCUCCCUUUUUGCAGCUCUCUCUCAGUCACCAACUCUUGUAAAUCCCAUCCUAACUGAUCACAUAUUUUUAGGGUUUCGGAUGAGUUAGGCUGUAUUCUUGGGGCUAUAGAGAUGUUUUUUGUUAGUUUUGAGAAAGUAUUAUUAUGUAGUCUUGCUUUUUUGGGAACUUGCUAUGUAGACGACCAGGCUAGCCUUGAACUCACAGAGAUCUAUCUGCUUGUCUCUGCCUCCCCAAGUCUAGGACUAAUAAAGGUGUGUGCCAGCCUC